rnacentral:rRNA from 2 species
GACGGGAGCUUGCUCCUUGAUUCAGCGGCGGACGGGUGAGUAAUGCCUAGGAAUCUGCCUGGUAGUGGGGGACAACGUUUCGAAAGGAACGCUAAUACCGCAUACGUCUACGGGAGAAAGCAGGGGACCUUCGGGCCUUGCGCUAUCAGAUGAGCCUAGGUCGGAUUAGCUAGUUGGUGGGGUAAUGGCUCACCAAGGCGACGAUCCGUAACUGGUCUGAGAGGAUGAUCAGUCACACUGGAACUGAGACACGGUCCAGACUCCUACGGGAGGCAGCAGUGGGGAAUAUUGGACAAUGGGGGAAAGCCUGAUCCAGCCAUGCCGCGUGUGUGAAGGAGGUCUUCCGAUUGUGGAACACUUU